CACGUAGGGUGCGAGCGUUGUCCGGAAUUAUUGGGCGUAAAGAGUUCGUAGGCGGUGUGUCGCGUCGGCCGUGAAAACCUGCAGCUUAACUGUGGGCUUGCGGUCGAUACGGGCAUCACUGGAGUUCGGCAGGGGAGACUGGAAUUCCUGGUGUAGCGGUGAAAUGCGCAGAUAUCAGGAGGAACACCGAUGGCGAAGGCAGGUCACUGGGCCGCAACUGACGCUGAGGAGCGAAAGCAUGGGGAGCGAACAGG
rnacentral:rRNA from 1 species